rnacentral:rRNA from 1 species
UACGUAGGGUGCGAGCGUUGUCCGGAUUUAUUGGGCGUAAAGAGCUCGUAGGCGGUUUGUCGCGUCGGCCGUGAAAUCUCCACGCUUAACGUGGAGCGUGCGGUCGAUACGGGCAGACUUGAGUUCGGUAGGGGAGACUGGAAUUCCCGGUGUAGCGGUGAAAUGCGCAGAUAUCAGGAGGAACACCGGUGGCGAAGGCGGGUCUCUGGGCCGAUACUGACGCUGAGGAGCGAAAGCGUGGGGAGCGAACAGG